rnacentral:rRNA from 1 species
CCUACGGGAGGCAGCAGUGGGGAAUAUUGGACAAUGGGCGAAAGCCUGAUCCAGCCAUGCCGCGUGUGUGAAGAAGGCCUUCGGGUUGUAAAGCACUUUCAGUGGGGAAGAAAGCCUUGGGGCUAAUACCCUCGAGGAAGGACAUCACCCACAGAAGAAGCACCGGCUAACUCCGUGCCAGCAGCCGCGGUAAUACGGAGGGUGCGAGCGUUAAUCGGAAUUACUGGGCGUAAAGCGCGCGUAGGCGGUCUGAUAAGCCGGUUGUGAAAGCCCCGGGCUCAACCUGGGAACGGCAUCCGGAACUGUCAGGCUAGAGUGCAGGAGAGGAAGGUAGAAUUCCCGGGGUAGCGGGGAAAUGCGUAGAGAUCGGGAGGAAUACCAGUGGCGAAGGCGGCCUUCUGGACUGACACUGACGCUGAGGUGCGAAAGCGUGGGUAGCAAACAGGAUUAGAUACCCCAGUAGUC